rnacentral:rRNA from 1 species
UACGUAGGGGCAAGCGUUGUCCGGAAUCAUUGGGCGUAAGCGCGUGUAGGCGGUCCGGUAAGUCCGCUGUGAAAGUCGGGGCUUACCUGGGAAUGGCAUUGGAACUGGCUCGCUGGAGUGUGGCAGAGGGGGUGGAAUUCCGCGUGUAGCAGUGAAAUGGCGUAGAGAUGCGGAGGAACACCGAUGGCGAAGGCAGCCCCUGGGCUAACACUGACGCUCAGGCACGAAGCGUGGGAGCAAACAGG